rnacentral:tRNA from 1 species
GCCGUUCUAGCCCAACCGGCAGGAGGCACCGCGUUCAGGACGCGGACAGUCAGGGUUCGAAUCCCUGGAACGGCAC